rnacentral:lncRNA from 1 species
GAAGAAGUCGGUACAAACAUCUGAAAUGCUCUGUUUUGUUUUGUUUCAAUCAAAAUCCCAAAUGCACAGCCCCAUGUUAACAGAACUCUUGUUUGCUGUAGUGAUCUGGUACAAGAACAGCUUCUUGAUCAAUUUCAUGCUGAGAUGGAUCCCUCAAUACGAAGGCUGUGUGUAUAAAACAUCCAAGACACAGGUCAACAGAAACCCAAAAAGAAUAAAUAGCUUGAUUUGUGGAAUAUUUAUUCAUUACAUGCAAACACCUACCGAACGAAAUGACAAAACUACAUCCUUCAUUUAAUCGCUGUUUUAACAUUUCUCCAAACUUUGUCAUAACACGAUUCAUACAAAGCUAAACUUUAUACAUUCAAUGAGCCAUGACAAAUGUGAAUUUAACAAUGUUUCUGAACUCCAAGCAAAUUUAUGACAAAUUGAUUCUGCACUGAUUUAAGUUUUGCAAAAUAAAUGUGCUCUCUACAGACACCCACUAAUUGACCUAACCACAAUGACACCUACUGGGCAAACUUUCAGUUCAUGGACCAUAAUAGUAGGAUUUUUUUUUUUUUUGCAAUUUGAGUAUGGUUCUAUAUCCGAAUGUGCAAUAUGAUAAUUGGGUUUUCUGAAGAUGAAUUCUCAAAUAUUAAAUCGGAAAUUUGUACUCUACAUGAAUUAUACCAAUGAAAUCUGUGUUAGAAAAAUGAGUUCAGGAGUAUUCUUGAUGCUCAGGACAUAGUUUCAUGUGUAUAAUCUCUAGGAAAAGGAACCUACCUAAGAUCUUAUUGCCUGUCUUUUAUCCACAUUGUCUUUCUGUAUGUACAAUUUGGCUCCUCAAUGAUCAGUGCAUGAUGCUACAGAAUAAUCUCAUGCAUGCCCACAAAAUACACAUAUUUGUAAUAUAUGCUCUUUACCUUCAUUAACAAAUAUAACUGUGAGGAGAUAAUUGUUUCACAGAACCACUCAAUCAAAAUUAAUUACUUGUGUCACAUCAAAUAAGUGGACCAUGUCCAAUGCAUUCUAAAUGCCAAUUUGUCUGUUGUACCCUUUUUUCAGCAAAGCCAGUUUCUGAUGUUCAGUGUGUCAAAUUAUGGUCAUAUCAAUAAAUCAUGCAUUUAUAUGUCCAAUCACAAACAACACAUAAAGAGAAGGCAACAAAUAUGCAACACAUUAACAUUAAGGCACAUAAUUAAUUUAUUAGAAAGAUACAGGCUAAAUCAAAGAUAAUGAUCAUCACAAACGCUGUAGAUCUAUGCUAAGAAAUGAAAUAAUUAAGUGCACAUGAUUUCAGUAGUAC